GCUGGCGGCAGGCCUAACACAUGCAAGUCGAGCGCCCAGCAAUGGGAGCGGCAGACGGGAGAGUAACACGUGGGAACGUACCCUUCAGUUCGGAACAACCCAGGGAAACUUGGGCUAAUACCGAAUACGUCCGUAAGGAGAAAGAUUUAUCGCUGAAGGAUCGGCCCGCGUCUGAUUAGCUAGUUGGUGAGGUAACGGCUCACCAAGGCGACGAUCAGUAGCUGGUCUGAGAGGAUGAUCAGCCUCAUUGGGACUGAGACACGGCCCAAACUCCUACGGGAGGCAGCAGUGGGGAAUAUUGGACAAUGGGCGCAAGCCUGAUCCAGCCAUGCCGCGUGGAUGAUGAAGGCCCUAGGGUUGUAAAGUCCUUUCGACGGGGAAGAUAAUGACGGUACCCGUAGAAGAAGCCCCGGCUAACUUCGUGCCAUCAGCCGCGGUAAUACGAAGGGGGCUAGCGUUGCUCGGAAUCACUGGGCGUAAAGCGCACGUAGGCGG
rnacentral:rRNA from 1 species